rnacentral:sRNA from 1 species
UAACAUUUUUGCUUCCCCUGUUGGGUGAAUGUAUCAGAGACACCACUAAUCAUUUCUGUCUACUCUUCAUUCCCUCUUGUGGAAUAUGUUCUUAUUUUAUUUUCCAGGAGACUAAAGUCUAACUACCACAUGGUCUAGUCAUUCAAUCAUGGCUCUUCAGACAGUAGAUAAGCACUUGACCUAAGUUGGGGCAACCAUUUUCCGUUCUGUUUUGCCUUGGAACAUGAAGAUACGGCAUCAUCUCAUUUCCCUUGAUGAGACUGUUGGAUAAUAUAGAUGCAAGGAGCGGCAGAGGUGAUUACUCCUUGUGCAGAACGUCGCGGUCAUUUCCUUCUGUCCUCUUCUGGCUGUGAUGAGAAGCAUCCACUAAGACUCACCACCAUACUGGUCUGCUGAAUCAACUAGCUGAUGUAUCUAGAGCUCUAUUUUCUUUUUCUGAAAUAAAACACUCUGCUAAAGAAGGAGAUUUACUUUCGAGUUAAGCCUGCUGGACCUGAAACUCAUCUUCACUGACUACCAGCCUUGUGACCCAUAUGCAAGACCGAAAACCAUUGGGGUGGAGAGA